GUUACCUACUCCACCGACUAGAACAAAUUCAUGUCCUGACGAAACCAUCUUCCAAGGCGUAUUUACAGACAACUACGAUCCUCAUGGUGCCAAGAGCGAGAUAAUCUCGUCAACGCGUCGUGGCACCGGUACUUGGUGCUUAGCAAAUGUUUGUCAACAUUCUCGUCGUCAGCGUCGUCCCAUGGAUUCCCCUGUUUCCAUUUUCUUUAGUAUGUUCGCCCGAUUCUCACUAGUUCCGUGCCUGUUUCGGAGUGGAAUUUUGUGGCAACAUGAAUGACCGGCAGAUGCUGGUCGCCAUAUAACAGUGGCAUCUCUCUGUUCGAGCCAGUUUUUUAUCACUGCAGAAUGCCUCAAGCGCUGCAAUAGUUUAAUAACGAGCCAUUGAGUUUUCUUGAUUUCGCUGAGCCGCCUCUGUAGAUAAAGCUGGUUCCAUGGCUUUGCUUAUUCUUACUGUUUUGAUCACCAACUUUAUGGCUUUUGGGGGCUUUAUCUGUCUAUCCAAUUCAAAAUGUUACGGCAACUCUAGUGCGUUGAAGAAUUACGUUGUUUUUGUUGUUUGAAACACUUUCGGCAGUUUAUGUUAGAAAUUUUGUGUUUUAAAUAAGCGUAAAAUCGGGGCGGAGAUUUUCAUAUGAUAAUGGUUGUGCAAGAAGACCAUGUUCAAUCUUGCGAAUCUGGAACUGAGGACUGUAAAACAACUUCAAUUUCUGAAGCCGAAAAGGAGGAGAGCCAGGAGACCACCUCUACAUCUUAUGAAGGUGCAGACGAGGAAGAAUCGUCAGAAAUUUGUCGUGUUUGUCAAUCUGCUGAGCCUGAUAGAAGGGGAGAUGCUGCACUAGUUUUCCUGAACAUCAUUCCCCCUAUAGAUGCUGAUUCACAAGGUGUCGGGGAAAAUAGCUCAGGACAUAAAGAUAAUACGAGAAAUGCUCAUGAUGGCGUUGGUGAUCCGAAGGACUCUGAAACGGAGCCUACUUUUCUUAAGUUUGUGAGUCCUGAAGGUGAAGUUUUUAUCUGUAGUGCAGGUUUGGAAGCUGGGUCCUACCAUUAUCAUGAUGCGCUGAUUAAUCUUGGAUGUUCAUGCAAGAAUGAUCUUGCUCUUGUACAUUAUGCUUGUGCACUUAAGUGGUUCAUCAAUCAUGGAUCCACUGUCUGUGAAAUUUGUGGAAGCAUAGCAACAAAUAUUAGGACAGCAGAUUUCCAUAAGGUUAUAUUUUUGUUAAAGGAAUGCGAGAGCUUAAGAGAAAGAACUGCUGCUGGAGAACUUACUCCUGUACAUAUGCAGUCAAAUCCACGUGCGGAUCCUGAUGCAGUCGCUGCUAUUCGAUUGCUGAGACUUACUGAGAUCUCUUUGUGGUUUAAUCCACAGAACCAUUUCACUACAUUGUCACAAGGCACCAUUGAUCAAGCUUCCACCAUUCCUGCUGAGGAAACUAGCUCCAAUGUGAACCGUGCCACCAAAUGGGCUGUAGAAAGUGCUGGGAUACUAGUAGCCACCGGACUGCUCACGAUAACCCUUGCAUGGCUUAUUGCACCUCGCAUUGGAAAGAAAACUGCUAGAAGUGGCCUCCACAUUUUCCUGGGAGGGCUUUGCGCCUUGACCAUUGUCGUGUUCCUUCGAUUUGUAGUGUUACCAAGAGUCAAGUAUGGACCAGCAUGUCAUUGUGCAAUUUUAUUUGUCUUCUGGUCUCUCUUUGCUGUCUGGUCCUCUCGAGCUCGUGCCUGACUUCAUGUAAAUUGAGUGCAGCUAGUAUGACAUCAGUCUUCAAGAAUCUAGAAGACUCUGUCUAGAUGAUCGCUAUUGGUACAACUUGAGUGGCAAGGUUCUAGCUUUCUCAUGAAUCUUGGUGAUUGUUGCUUAAGAUGCUCCCAUGUUCCUCACAAUUGGUAUGUGCUGUGGCAAGGAGGGUGAUAUUGUCCAAUCAUAAUCGUCAGUAUGGCUUCAAUCCACCUUAUGCCUAGAGUAGAUGCUCCUUUUGAGAAGCCGACACCAGUUGAAAUUUUGCAGGCUGUUACUCCUGUCUAUAGGGGUUUCUGUCAUUUUCUUGUUUCCUUUUAUGUAAAUGAUACAUGAUACACGCAAGCAGCCAAAUUAUUGUAAAAAGAAGAAGCUUAGUUAUCAUCUAUUUUUUCUUUUUAGAAUGAA